UGGGCGAAGCCUGAUCCAGCCAUGCCGCGUGUGUGAAGAAGGCCUUCGGGUUGUAAAGCACUUUCAGCGAGGAAGAACGCUUCGGGAUUAAUACUCCCGAGGAAAGACAUCACUCGCAGAAGAAGCACCGGCUAACUCCGUGCCAGCAGCCGCGGUAAUACGGAGGGUGCAAGCGUUAAUCGGAAUUACUGGGCGUAAAGCGCGCGUAGGUGGCUAAGUCAGCCAGGUGUGAAAGCCCCGGGCUCAACCUGGGAACGGCAUCUGGAACUGCUUGGCUAGAGUGCAGGAGAGGAAGGUAGAAUUCCCGGUGUAGCGGUGAAAUGCGUAGAGAUCGGGAGGAAUACCAGUGGCGAAGGCGGCCUUCUGGACUGACACUGACACUGAGGUGCGAAAGCGUGGGUAGCAAACAGGAUUAGAUACCCUGGUAGUCCACGCCGUAAACGAUGUCAACUAGCCGUUGGGUCCCUUGAGGACUUAGUGGCGCAGCUAACGCAAUAAGUUGACCGCCUGGGGAGUACGGCCGCAAGGUUAAAACUCAAAUGAAUUGACGGGGGCCCGCACAAGCGGUGGAGCAUGUGGUUUAAUUCGAUGCAACGCGAAGAACCUUACCUACCCUUGACAUCCAGAGGACUUUCCAGAGAUGGAUUGGUGCCUUCGGGAACUCUGAGACAGGUGCUGCAUGGCUGUCGUCAGCUCGUGUUGUGAAAUGUUGGGUUAAGUCCCGUAACGAGCGCAACCCCUAUCCUUAUUUGCCAGCGAGUAAUGUCGGGAACUCUAAGGAGACUGCCGGUGACAAACCGGAGGAAGGUGGGGACGACGUCAAGUCAUCAUGGCCCUUACGGGUAGGGCUACACACGUGCUACAAUGGCAAGUACAAAGGGUUGCAAUACGGCGACGUGAGCCAAUCCCAUAAAGCUUGCCUCAGUCCGGAUUGGAGUCUGCAACUCGACUCCAUGAAGUCGGAAUCGCUAGUAAUCGUGGAUCAAAUGCCACGGUGAAUACGUUCCCGGCCUUGUACACACCGCCCGUCACACCAUGGGAGUGACUGCACCAGAGUGUAGCCUAACCUCGGAGGGCGAUCACCACGGUGUGGUUCAUGACUGGGGUGAAGUCGGAACAA
rnacentral:rRNA from 1 species